rnacentral:lncRNA from 1 species
CAACCUUUUUCUGCAAAAGGGCCAGAUAAUACAACUAUUUAGUUUUGAACUCCUGAUAUGAAAACAGCUAAGACAAUAUGUAAACAAAAAAUGAGUGUGGUGCUGUUACAAUAAAACUUGCCUUUGUAAACAUUGAAAUUUGAAUCUGUUAAAAUGUUCUCAUGUUAUGAAACAUUCCUCUUCUGAUUUCUUAAAAAACAUUGAAAAAGGUAAAACUUCUCAUUAGCUAUACAGAUCAUACAAAAGCAGGAGGUGGUAAGGAUUUGACCCCAGCACAUGGUGGCUGAACCUGUGUUGAAAGAAUGGCAAGUGCUCAGGGAAAAUGAAGUCAAAGAAGUGGGCUAGGGAACACAGACAGUAUGAAAUCAGAUUGGUGUUAUAGAAAGUCACCCAGAUAAGGCCCCACUAAAAGAUAACACUUGAAUAAAGAAUUGAAAGAAAUGGGGUCAGUUAAGCAUCUGAAGCUCACAAUCAUGAGUUCAAGCCCCAUGUUGGGCUCCACGAUGGGCGUGGAGCUUACUUAAAAAAAAAAGAAUAAAAAUUUAAAGAAGAAACGUAAAUUUCACUUGACAAUAAGAAAUUUGAGAAAUAGGUGUACCUGGGUGGCUCAGUGGUUGAGUGUCUGCCUUUGGCUCAGGGUGUGAUCUCAGGGUCCUGGGAUCUAGUGCUGCAUCAGGCUCACCACAGGAAGUCUACUUCUCCCUCUGCCUAUGUCUCUACCUCUCUCUCUGUGUCUCUCAUAAAUAAAUAAAAUAAAUAAAUAAAUAAAUAAAUAAAUAAAUAAACAAAUAAAUAAAUAAAAUCUUUAAAAAAGAAUUUAAGAAAUAUAAUCUUAAUUUUUCUACCUGUUUCAGUCUCCAUCUCACUUAUUAUCCCAUUUCUUCACUUGGCAUCCACAAAUACAACCCCUCACCCUCUGGGAGAGCCUGUGUGUAGAAGAGUAGUCUGCAGUGGAACAAUUAAUUCUGGGCUAGAACAAACAUUUCAGAAGAGAAGAGCCCUUCCGUAUGCUUCUCAAAUCAGACCCUUGGCACACAGCUAAUUCUUCAACCUGUGACUAAGGUACAGUCUGGUCAUUUUUGUCCUAAAAACUGCUGGGUCCCACAAAACCACUGGGCAGGGAAAAUUUAAAAGCAUUGUCCUUACCUUUGCAUGCUGUGAUUUCAGAAAUCAGUUAGUUUUUGCUGAGAAGUGGUGCCAAAAAUUAGUGGUUUAAAACAAGCAUUCAUUAUUUUUCAUGAUACUGUGGGUAGACUGGAUGACACCUGGACUGAAUCAGCUUGGCCGGAAUGAAUGGUCUAGGAUAGCUUCCCUUCCAGUUGGCAGGCUGGUUGGGCUACCAAGCCUCAGUUAGGUUGCCUUGACUCUGCUCCACAUGGUCUCUCAUCCUUGAAAACUUGCUGUGCUUCUGCACGUGGCAGUCUCCAAGUUCCCAAAAGCAGCAAGAAGUAGAUGUGUAAGUCCUUUCCAACUUUUUAUGGCCAGAGGAAGUUGUUCAAAGAAAAUCCAGUCCAGACUCAGUGUGGG